rnacentral:tRNA from 1 species
GGUUAUAGCUCAGUUGGUAGAGCACUUGCCUAGCAUGUGUGAGGCACUGGGUUCGAUCCUCAGCACCA